rnacentral:lncRNA from 1 species
UGGUUUUAUAAUCAUUAUCAAGAAGGCCCUGCCAUUGUACUGGUUGCAUCUCUGUUUUUGUACUUAGGGUCACUAAAGAAGCCAGAGUGGAGGCUGCAGGGAAUACGGAUUUAAAUGAAUUUUGGCUGUACCAUCAAGCAGUCUGAUCACUGAGGAAAUAUCAAAAGCUUCACCCGAGUGACUCAUCACCCAAAUUCGACAGAGACUUGCCAAAGAAGCUGCUUAUUUCACAGAAGGAUGGUGCUGGCUAAAAGAUGCUUCCUUGAAACUGAGAGACUGCUGCCUUAGACAGGUCUCCUUGAAGAGAUUUCAAACCUCACUGUGUCACUAUCUACUACCUUGGAGUCUGGAGAACACUGAAUGGAUGAAUGGAUGGAUGGACAGAAGGAUGAAAUAGAUGGAUUAAUGAACAUUAUCUGCUGACUGACAUUCAAAGUCCUUAGCAUAUAGUCUUAGGUUUUCAAAGAGAGUCUGAGCCUGCAGAGCAAAGAAAUGGAAAAUUUGAGAGCUUUUUAUAAUAAGAA